AGAGUUUGAUCCUGGCUCAGAACGAACGCUGGCGGCGUGGAUAAGACAUGCAAGUCGAACGCUAAUUUCAGGGUAGCAAUAUUCUGAGGUUGGAGUGGCGCAAGGGUGCGUAACACGUGGGUAAUUUGCCGUGAAGUUGGGGAUAACUCGCUGAAAGGCGAGCUAAUACCGAAUGUGAAAACCGGGAGGCAUCUUUUGGUUUUUAAAGUUGGGGACCGCAAGGCCUGACGCUUUACGAUAAGCCCGCGGCCUAUCAGCUAGUUGGUGAGGUAACGGCUCACCAAGGCUAAGACGGGUAGCUGGUCUGAGAGGACGACCAGUCACACUGGAACUGAGACACGGUCCAGACACCUACGGGUGGCAGCAGUCGAGAAUUUUUCUCAAUGGGCGAAAGCCUGAAGGAGCGACGCCGCGUGGGGGAUGAAGGGCUUCGGCUCGUAAA
rnacentral:rRNA from 1 species